rnacentral:rRNA from 1 species
GGUUGAUCCUGCCAGUAGUCAUAUGCUUGUCUCAAAGAUUAAGCCAUGCAUGUCUCAGUACAAGCCAAAUUAAGGUGAAACCGCGAAAGGCUCAUUAAAUCAGUUAUGGUUCCUUAGAUCGUACCCACAAUUACUUGGAUAACUGUGGUAAUUCUAGAGCUAAUACAUGCAAACAGAGCUCCGACCGGAGACGGAAGGAGUGCUUUUAUUAGAUCAAAACCAAUCGGUGGCGGGUUCGCUCGUUAUCGUACAACUUGGUGACUCUGAAUAACUUUACGCUGAUCGCACGGUCAUCGCACCGGCGACGCAUCUUUCAAAUGUCUGCCUUAUCAACUGUCGAUGGUAGGUUCUGCGCCUACCAUGGUUGUAACGGGUAACGGGGAAUCAGGGUUCGAUUCCGGAGAGGGAGCCUGAGAAACGGCUACCACAUCCAAGGAAGGCAGCAGGCGCGCAAAUUACCCACUCCCGGCACGGGGAGGUAGUGACGAAAAAUAACGAUACGGGACUCAUCCGAGGCCCCGUAAUCGGAAUGAGUACACUCUAAACCCUUUAACGAGGAUCAAUUGGAGGGCAAGUCUGGUGCCAGCAGCCGCGGUAAUUCCAGCUCCAAUAGCGUAUAUUAAAG